rnacentral:ncRNA from 2 species
CUGAAUAUGCUAGAGACAGGUGCCCGUUUAGGGCUUAAUAGGGAAGACCGGUUAAAAGCCGGCGCGGUCCCGCCACUGUAUUGGGGAGCAAACUCAAGUGACGCCACUGGGAUGAAAAUCCUGGGAAGGUUUGAGCGAGCCAUGAUCCAGAGCCAGGAGAACUGCCUGUUUGACAGUCACCGU